AUCCCCAUUCUGCCAUCCCUUAGGAGCUGGGAGCCAACCAGGGCUGCAGCCACCCUGCUGGCUCCAUGAUCCACGGAGACAGGUGGGGUCUCAAUGGCCUCUCUGAUGCAGACGUCAAGGUCAGAACUGCAUGUUAUCUUGGGAGCCAAGCUGCAAAUCCUGGAUAAUAAGCAGGCUGAGCCUACCCCUCCCAGGAAACACAGUAGAGAAUGGGAAACAAACAACAGAAGCAAAAAGCUAGAAGGCCAGGAGUAAAAGAACCAGGCAGAGGUCUUCUUGCUGGUGUCACUGUCAGGGGCCAAGCCCUCCUCGCUGCUUUCGGGGGCGCCUGUCUCCCCCUCGCUGGGUUUCUCUAAAAGGCAUGAACUUGAGGCCUCGCCCUUGCCCUGCACCUGGGAGGCCCAGAAAGUUCUGCUGAAAGGAAACCCUGGCCAAAAAGAGAU